rnacentral:rRNA from 1 species
GACGAACGCUGGCGGCGUGCUUAACACAUGCAAGUCGAACGGAAAGGCCUCUUUCGGGGGGUACUCGAGUGGCGAACGGGUGAGUAACACGUGAGUAACCUGCCCUUGACUUUGGGAUAACUUCAGGAAACUGGGGCUAAUACCGGAUAGGAGCUCCUGCUGCAUGGUGGGGGUUGGAAAGUUUCGGCGGUUGGGGAUGGACUCGCGGCUUAUCAGCUUGUUGGUGGGGUAGUGGCUUACCAAGGCUUUGACGGGUAGCCGGCCUGAGAGGGUGACCGGCCACAUUGGGACUGAGAUACGGCCCAGACUCCUACGGGAGGCAGCAGUGGGGAAUAUUGCACAAGGGGUGGAAGCCUGAUGCAGCAACGCCGUGUGCGGGAUGACGGCCUUCGGGUUGUAAACCGCUUUCGCUCAUGACGAAACUUUGUGUGACGGUAGUGGGUAAAGAAGCACCGGCUAACUACGUG